rnacentral:rRNA from 1 species
AGUAUAAGCAAUUAUACAGCGAAACUGCGAAUGGCUCAUUAUAUAAGUUAUCGUUUAUUUGAUAGUACCUUACUACUUGGAUAACCGUGGUAAUUCUAGAGCUAAUACAUGCUAAAAAUCCCGACUUCGGAAGGGAUGUAUUUAUUAGAUUAAAAACCAAUGCCCUCUGGGCUCCUUGGUGAUUCAUAAUAACUUUUCGAAUCGCAUGGCCUUGCGCCGGCGAUGGUUCAUUCAAAUUUCUUCCCUAUCAACUUUCGAUGUUUGGGUAUUGGCCAAACAUGGUCGCAACGGGUAACGGAGGGUUAGGGCUCGACCCCGGAGAAGGAGCCUGAGAAACGGCUACUACAUCCAAGGAAGGCAGCAGGCGCGCAAAUUACCCAAUCCCGAUUCGGGGAGGUAGUGACAAUAAAUACUGAUACAGGGCUCUUUUGGGUCUUGUAAUUGGAAUGAGUACAAUUUAAAUCCCUUAACGAGGAACAAUUGGAGGGCAAGUCUGGUGCCAGCAGCCGCGGUAAUUCCAGCUCCAAUAGCGUAUAUUAAAGUUGUUGUGGUUAAAAAGCUCGUAGUUGAACCUUGGGCCUGGCUGGCCGGUCCGCCUCACCGCGUGUACUGGUCCGGCCGGGCCUUUCCCUCUGUGGAACCUCAUGCCCUUCACUGGGUGUGGCGGGGAAACAGGACUUUUACUUUGAAAAAAUUAGAGUGCUCCAGGCAGGCCUAUGCUCGAAUACAUUAGCAUGGAAUAAUAAAAUAGGACGUGUGGUUCUAUUUUGUUGGUUUCUAGGACCGCCGUAAUGAUUAAUAGGGACAGUCGGGGGCAUCAGUAUUCAAUUGUCAGAGGUGAAAUUCUUGGAUUUAUUGAAGACUAACUACUGCGAAAGCAUUUGCCAAGGAUGUUUUCAUUAAUCAGGAACGAAAGUUAGGGGAUCGAAGACGAUCAGAUACCGUCGUAGUCUUAACCAUAAACUAUGCCGACUAGGGAUCGGACGAUGUUAUUUUUUGACGCGUUCGGCACCUUACGAGAAAUCAAAGUGCUUGGGCUCC